GCUACCCUACGGGACGCAGCAGUGAGGAAUAUUGGUCAAUGGGAGAGAUCCUGAACCAGCCACGCCGCGUGAGGGAUGAAGGUACAGAGUAUCGUAAACCUCUUUUGUCAGGGAACAAAGGCGGGGACGUGUCCCCGGAUGAGUGUACCUGAAGAAAAAGCAUCGGCUAACUCCGUGCCAGCAGCCGCGGUAAUACGGAGGAUGCGAGCGUUAUCCGGAUUUAUUGGGUUUAAAGGGUGCGCAGGCGGUCUGUUAAGUCAGCGGUCAAAGCCCGGGGCUCAACCCCGGCGAGCCGUUGAAACUGG
rnacentral:rRNA from 1 species